AUGAACGCUGGCGGCGUGCCUAAUACAUGCAAGUCGAGCGCACAGACGAGGAGCUUGCUCCUCUGACGUUAGCGGCGGACGGGUGAGUAACACGUAGAUAACCUACCUAUAAGACUGGGAUAACUUCGGGAAACCGGAGCUAAUACCGGAUAAUAUAUUGAACCGCAUGGUUCAAUAGUGAAAGACGGUUUUGCUGUCACUUAUAGAUGGAUCCGCGCCGCAUUAGCUAGUUGGUAAGGUAACGGCUUACCAAGGCAACGAUGCGUAGCCGACCUGAGAGGGUGAUCGGCCACACUGGAACUGAGACACGGUCCAGACUCCUACGGGAGGCAGCAGUAGGGAAUCUUCCGCAAUGGGCGAAAGCCUGACGGAGCAACGCCGCGUGAGUGAUGAAGGUCUUCGGAUCGUAAAACUCUGUUAUUAGGGAAGAACAAAUGUGUAAGUAACUAUGCACGUCUUGACGGUACCUAAUCAGAAAGCCACGGCUAACUACGUG
rnacentral:rRNA from 1 species